UACGGGGGGGGGCAAGCGUUGUUCGGAAUUACUGGGCGUAAAGGGCUCGUAGGCGGCCAACUAAGUCAGACGUGAAAAUCCCUCGGCUUAACCGGGGAACUGCGUCUGAUACUGGAUGGCUUGAGAUUGGGAGAGGGAUGCGGAAUUCCAGGUGUAGCGGUGAAAAUGCGUAGAUAUCUGGAGGAACACCGGUGGCGAAGGCGGCAUCCUGGACCAACACUGACGCUGAGGAGCGAAAGCCAGGGGAGCAAACGGG
rnacentral:rRNA from 1 species